rnacentral:rRNA from 1 species
AGUGAACGCUGGCGGUAGGCCUAACACAUGCAAGUCGAACGGCAGCACAGUAAGAGCUUGCUCUUACGGGUGGCGAGUGGCGGACGGGUGAGGAAUACAUCGGAAUCUACUUUUUCGUGGGGGAUAACGUAGGGAAACUUACGCUAAUACCGCAUACGACCUACGGGUGAAAGCAGGGGAUCUUCGGACCUUGCGCGAUUGAAUGAGCCGAUGUCGGAUUAGCUAGUUGGCGGGGUAAAGGCCCACCAAGGCGACGAUCCGUAGCUGGUCUGAGAGGAUGAUCGGCCACACUAGAACUGAGACACGGUCCAGACUCCUACGGGAGGCAGCAGUGUGGAAUAUUAGACAAUGGGCGCAAACCUGAUCCAGCCAUACCGCGUGGGUGAAGAAGGCCUUCGGGUUGUAAAGCCCUUUUGUUGGGAAAGAAAAGCAGCAGGUUAAUACCCCGCUGUUCUGACGGUACCCAAAGAAUAAGCACCGGCUAACUUCGUG